AACGUAGGUACCGAGCGUUAUUCGGAUUUACUGGGCGUAAAGCGCGUGCAGGCGGUUUGGCAAGUCGGGCAUGAAAUCUCUCGGCUCAACCGGGAGAGGUUGUCCGAUACUGCUGGGCUUGAGGGCAGUAGAGGGUGGUGGAAUUCCGGGUGUAGUGGUGAAAUGCGUAGAUAUCCGGAGGAACACCAGUGGCGAAAGCGGCCUCCUGGACUGCACCUGACGCUGACGCGCGAAAGCUAGGGGAGCGAACGGG
rnacentral:rRNA from 1 species